GCGACCUUGGCGGUGACGGAGAAGCUGGUCAAACUUGGUCAUUUAGAGGAAGUAAAAGUCGUAACAAGGUUUCCGUAGGUGAACCUGCGGAAGGAUCAUUAAAAAGAAUUAUACACUUUGCAUUUGCGAACAAAAAAAUAAAUUUUUUUAUUCUAACAAACUAAAUCAAAACUUUCAACAACGGAUCUCUUGGUUCUCGCAUCGAUGAAGAACGCAGCGAAUUGCGAUACGUAGUAUGACUUGCAGACGUGAAUCAUCGAAUCUUUGAACGCACAUUGCGCCUCGAGGCAUUCCUCGAGGCAUGCCUGUUUGAGCGUCGCAUCCCCUCUAACCCCCGGUUAGGSGUUGCUCCGAAAUAUCAACCGCGCUGUCAAACACGUUUACAGCACGACAUUUCGCCCUCAAAUCAGGUAGGACUACCCGCUGAACUUAAGCAUAUCAAUAAGCGGAGGAAAAGAAACCMACAGGGAUUGCCCCAGUAACGGCGAGUGAAGCGGCAAAAGCUCAAAUUUGAAAUCCUGCGGGAAUUGUAAUUUGAAGGUUUCGUGGUCUGAGUCGGCCGCGCCCAAGUCCAUUGGAACAUGGCGCCUGGGAGGGUGAGAGCCCCGUAUGGCGCACGCCGACUCUUUGCACCGCGGCUCCGACGAGUCGAGUUGUUUGGGAAUGCAGCUCUAAGUGGGUGGUAAAUUCCAUCUAAAGCUAAAUAUUGGCGAGAGACCGAUAGCGAACAAGUACAGUGAUGGAAAGAUGAAAAGCACUUUGAAAAGAGAGUGAAACAGCACGUGAAAUUGUUGAAAGGGAAGGGCUUGCAAGCAGACACGGUUUUACCGGGCCAGCGUCAAAUAAACGGGGGGGAAAAGGGGGAAAGAAUGUGGCGCGUGCCUUCGGGUUCGCGUGUUAUAGCU
rnacentral:rRNA from 1 species